rfam:Triticum aestivum genome assembly, contig: Triticum_aestivum_CS42_TGACv1_scaffold_049609_1BS
AAUGUAGUCCCUCCGUCCGAAAAUACUUGUCAUCAAAAAAAAUAAAAAGGAAUGUAUCUAGAUGUAGAUACAUCCCUUUUCAUCCAUUUUGAUGACAAGUAUUUUCGGACAGAGGGAGUAUGCA